rnacentral:misc_RNA from 1 species
GAGUUUUUUGUAUAAUUGAAAUUGAGAAUUGUUUAGACAUAUAGGAGACAUAGUAGGAAAUACAUGAUCUUGUCAAAUGUCAAGCAAAUAUUUUAAAAUUAAAUUUAAGGUUCAAAAAGUCUGUACACAAGAUAUAUGAAUAUUUAUGUUGCUAAGUUACCGGUAUUUUUGCAGUAAGUAUUUACUGGAUUCAAUGUUUGGUAAAAUAUUUUAUUUUGAUUUAAAAUACUAUAUACAUGUAUAAUUGUUGAUUUUAGCAACUGUAUGUCAAAUAUAUGUUUGAUAUUAUG